rnacentral:rRNA from 1 species
AGAUUGCAGGCUGCAACUCGCCUGCAUGAAGUCGGAAUUGCUAGUAAUCGUAGGUCAGCAUACUACGGUGAAUACGUUCCCGGGGCCUUGUACACACCGCCCGUCAAACCAUGAGAGUUGGCAACACCCGAAGUCGGUAGUCUAACCGCAAGGAGGACGCCGCCGAAGGUGGGGUUGAUGAUUAGGGUUAAGUCGUAACAAGGUAAC